rnacentral:rRNA from 1 species
UACGAAGGGGGCUAGCGUUGCUCGGAAUCACUGGGCGUAAAGGGUGCGUAGGCGGAUCUUUAAGUCAGGGGUGAAAUCCUGGAGCUCAACUCCAGAACUGCCUUUGAUACUGAGGAUCUUGAGUCCGGGAGAGGUGAGUGGAACUGCGAGUGUAGAGGUGAAAUUCGUAGAUAUUCGCAAGAACACCAGUGGCGAAGGGCGGACCAACUGGUCCGGUACUGACGCUGAGGUGCGAAAGCGUGGGG